UGGCUGUCGUCAGCUCGUGUCGUGAGAUGUUGGGUUAAGUCCCGUAACGAGCGCAACCCUUGUCCUUAGUUACCAGCACGUAAUGGUGGGAACUCUAAGGAGACUGCCGGUGACAAACCGGAGGAAGGUGGGGAUGACGUCAAGUCAUCAUGGCCCUUACGGCCAGGGCUACACACGUGCUACAAUGGUCGGUACAAAGGGUUGCCAAGCCGCGAGGUGGAGCUAAUCCCAUAAAACCGAUCGUAGUCCGGAUCGCAGUCUGCAACUCGACUGCGUGAAGUCGGAAUCGCUAGUAAUCGUGAAUCAG
rnacentral:rRNA from 1 species